UACAGAGGUCCCAAGCGUUGUUCGGAUUCAUUGGGCGUAAAGGGUGCGUAGGUGGCCAACUAAGUCGGACGUGAAAUCCCUCGGCUUAACCGGGGAACUGCGUCCGAUACUGGUUGGCUUGAGUUUGGGAGAGGGAUGCGGAAUUCCAGGUGUAGCGGUGAAAUGCGUAGAUAUCUGGAGGAACACCGGUGGCGAAGGCGGCAUCCUGGACCAAUACUGACGCUGAGGAGCGAAAGCCAGGGGAGCAAACGGG
rnacentral:rRNA from 1 species